AUUUUGAAUGACUCCAGCAUGCAGAAGGGCCCCUGAUCCAUGCUGUUUCCAUAUCCAAGCGCAAGCUUGUCUAGAGCUUCAGCAAAUCCAAGCCUCACUGCAUUCCCUGCAAGACAAAACUGAGCCCGACAACACCCACUACACUGGUUAGCUGACAGUCCCAGCCCCUGCUCCCUCCUGGGCCCCUGUCUGUACAGUUCUGAAGUCCUGCAAGAAUGUUGAGGUCCUAAGCCGACUUUCACUGAAACAGGUAAACAACCAGGGGCCUCCAGGGGUAGAGAACAUACCCAGACAGGUUCUGUUGCCUGUAGGCUUGAUGCCCUUCCCCCACAACAUGCCGUGCUUGUCUGGCAGGAAGGGGGGUUCCAGAAACUUGGGAAACCUGGGCCUGUAGCUGUCAUAUGGAAAAGAGGCCUGGAAAAGCACCACUCCUGUUCCCCAGAUGGAACCAGGUAAUUGGGAAAUACAUGGGCACCAAGCCUGACCCCCACUCAGACCCAGGUGGGAACUGUAGCAGUGACUUGCCCCCUCUGCCACUCUGGCUGUACCACCACAGGAGGAACAUCUGACCCCACACGUGAGUGGAGACACUAGGUGUGGGAGGUUCCAGUGGUUGCUGCAGCUGAA
rnacentral:lncRNA from 1 species